rnacentral:rRNA from 1 species
GAUGAACGCUGGCGGCGUGCCUAAUACAUGCAAGUCGAGCGAACAGACGAGGAGCUUGCUCCUCUGACGUUAGCGGCGGACGGGUGAGUAACAUGUGGAUAACCUACCUAUAAGACUGGGAUAACUUCGGGAAACCGGAGCUAAUACCGGAUAAUAUAUUGAACCGCAUGGUUCAAUAGUGAAAGACGGUUUUGCUGUCACUUAUAGAUGGAUCCGCGCCGCAUUAGCUAGUUGGUAAGGUAACGGCUUACCAAGGCGACGAUGCGUAGCCGACCUGAGAGGGUGAUCGGCCACACUGGAACUGAGACACGGUCCAGACUCCUACGGGAGGCAGCAGUAGGGAAUCUUCCGCAAUGGGCGAAAGCCUGACGGAGCAACGCCGCGUGAGUGAUGAAGGUCUUCGGAUCGUAAAACUCUGUUAUUGGGGAAGAACAAAUGUGUAAGUAACUAUGCACGUCUUGACGGUACCUAAUCAGAAAGCCACGGCUAACUACGUG